UGGGGAAUAUUGCACAAUGGGCGAAAGCCUGAUGCAGCGACGCCGCGUGAGGGAUGACGGCCUUCGGGUUGUAAACCUCUUUCAGUAGGGACGAAGCGCAAGUGACGGUACCUGCAGAAGAAGCACCGGCUAACUACGUGCCAGCAGCCGCGGUGAUACGUAGGGUGCGAGCGUUGUCCGGAAUUACUGGGCGUAAAGAGCUCGUAGGCGGUUUGUCACGUCGUCUGUGAAAUCCUAGGGCUUAACCCUGGACGUGCAGGCGAUACGGUCUGACUUGAGUACUACAGGGGGGACUGGAAUUUCUGGUGUAGCGGUGGAAUGCACAGAUAUCAGGAAGAACACCGAUGGCGAAGGCAGGUCUCUGGGUAGUAACUGACGCUGAGGAGCGAAAGCAUGGGUAGCGAACAGG
rnacentral:rRNA from 1 species